UACGUAGGGCGCAAGCGUUAUCCGGAAUUAUUGGGCGUAAAGCGCGCGUAGGCGGUUACUCAAGUCGGAUGUGAAAGCCCUCGGCUUAACUGAGGAAGUGCACCCGAGACUGUGGAGCUUGAGUGCGGGAGAGGGAAGCGGAAUUCCUGGUGUAGAGGUGAAAUUCGUAGAUAUCAGGAGGAACACCGGUGGCGAAAGCGGCUUCCUGGCCCGACACUGACGCUCAUGUACGAAAGCGUGGGGAGCAAACAGG
rnacentral:rRNA from 1 species